GGGAUCCGGGCUGGGCGGAGGAGAAGGCGGUGUUGCUUAGCAGAGAGUGAUGGCGGCGCCGCCCAAUGGACGCGUUGGUAGAGGGGUCCGCGCCCCCUCCACCGGGGUACACAGGAAGCCACCCCAGAGGGAUCCUACAAAAACCAAGAAAACCUAUAGCUACUCUUCUAAAUCUCAGUGCCCAGCAUUGCCUACGUUUCUGCCUCCCCCAACAAAAAAAAAAAACAGUUCUCCUUGACCUGAGGAAACUUCCAUCCAGGUCUGUGAGCUGCAAUAGAUCAUCCUGAAGAAUCAAGAAUCAUCAUCACCUGAGACUGCCAAGACGAAUCCCAGCAUCAAAACAACACUUGAAGCUCAAAAAGUCUCCUUAAAAAUGCAGUGACUCGGGCUUCCCUGGUGGCGCAGUGGUUGAGAAUCUGC